ensembl:lncRNA
CACCCUCAGCAUAUGGAGCUUCCCAGGCUAGGGAGUGAAUCAGAGCUGUAACCGCUGCCCUACGCCACAGCCACAGCAGUGUGGGAUCUGAGGUGCAUCUGCAACCUACACCACAGCUCAUGGCAACGCCGGAUCCUUAACCUACUGAAUGAGGCGAGGAAUUGAACCUGCAUCCUCAUGGAUACUUGUUGACUUCAUUUCCACUGAACCACGACAGGAGCUCCCCAUUGUGGUUUUUAUUUGCAUUCACCAAUGAUGAGAUAUGUUGAGUCUCCCUCUUCAAAGGCGGAAAUACCUCCUGGACCAUUGCUUUUUUCUUCUUCUAAGGCCAACAAUGUAAUUCCUUAGAAGAUUAAUUUUUCCUUUCCUAAUCCUGUAAUGGACAUGGUGACUCACUUCUUGCCUUGUAUGUACAGAUCUGGAAAAUAUAUCUUUGGCGAACUUUAUGCAAAAUGUCAGUGUGUCAUUUUAAUGUAUAGUUCUUAUCUUGAAAAUGUAUCUGGCUAUGCCUUCAACUUCUACCAGUUCUCAGAGCUUGCUUUUCUUUUCACUUUUUUAAGAAAGACUUUUUUUUAUUUUUAAAAAAAUUUUUUAGGGAGUUUUUUUUUAAACUUUUUUUAGGGUCGGAGCUUUCUGAAAGACUGUCUCCUGGUUUAUAAUCCUCAGCUUUGUUCGAAUAAACUUCUCUAUUUCUCCUUUAUGUCGACUGCUGAUUAAGUUUUUUGGUUGACAUAUCAGAAACGUUUUAAGAGAAGUAAAGAUAUAUACUUUCCCUUUUAUUAGAAAAGCCUCUAUAAGACAUCGAAUAUUUAACAAUUUACAUACUUUUCAGAUUAAAAGGAGGUCAUUGAUCAUCCCAAGCAAAUUAAAACACUUAGAGCUGGUGAGAUGAAUGCCCCCACUAGAGAUGUUUGGUCAGGAUAUAUUUGUUAGAACGCAGUAAUUCAGGGAAGACAUCUCUCUGACUUAGAUGAAUAUUUUCAUACCUUUGUUUUCAUACAAAGAAUCCAUAUCCUACAAAAGAAUUGGUCUUCUGAGCAUCUUCACUGGCUCCACUUUCCUCUCCACUGACUUCUCAGGGUUUUUUUUUUUUUUUUUUUUUUUUUUUUUCCAUUUCUAGGGCCACUCUCUUGGCAUAUGGAGGUUCCCAGGCUGGGGGUCGAAUCGGAGCUGUAGCCACCAGCCUACGCCAGAGACACAGCAACGCGGGAUCCGAGCCGCAUCUGUGAUCUACACCACAGCUCACGGCAAUGCCGGAUCCUUCACCCACUGAGCAAGGGCAGGGACCGAACCCGCAACCUCAUGGUUCCUAGUCGGAUUCGUUAACCACUGCGCCACGACAGGAACUCCACAUCCAGUCUUUUCUAACUGCGUUUCACUUCCCUUUUUGGAGUAAAACGUCCUUCAGUUCUUCUGUGGUAGAUCAACAAGUCACCUUGGUGAGCACAGCACAAAAUCUCCCAUGUCUUUGUGGCUGUAAGGUCGCAGCAGGAAACCCACAGGGUAAGUCAUGCCCAGUCCCUGUGAUGUGAGGUCGAGAGCCAGAGCUUUGUCUUGCGCAAGAAGCAGUUCUCCUUUUGUUUAGCAGGGGAUGUUGUCACUUCGGGGCAAGGGGUUUAAAGCCCCGGCUGCUCCAUCCCGGGCUGUGUCCUGCUGUGAAGAUUUUUCUGCCUGGUCAGCUGUGCUGCCUGGUGUGGGAGGUGUCAGCUGAGGCACGGCCAUGCCCCCAAGGGUCAUUUUUCUGCUCGGACUUGGUGAGGAUGGCAAGGGAGGUUGUGUGGGAGGCUGGCAAGGGAAGAGGCUGUGGAGAAAGAGGUUCAUAACCCGGGUUCCUCUCAUGCUCCUCUUCCUCUGUGAGGUCCUGGGGCCAGCGGGUUACAGGUUCUUUCGUUUGAUCUAGACCUGGUGCCCUGAACUCACCAGUUUGGGAAUCCUUGUAUUUUGCGGAGCUCUUUCUUACCGAGCCUUUCUCUGUUUUAGUGUUUUGCUGGGACCAAAGGAUUUGGGCACAGACUGACCUCUACCCUUCUCUGGAAAGCUUCCUGGUCUCCAGCCCUUUCCCGUCAUCACGGAUGAGUCAAGAGGAAGAUGCUCAGGUUUUACAAAAAUGCAGCAAGGUGACUCAGCUGAGGUCGGCAUUCACCAUGUGGAGAACUGGGGACAUUGCUCUUCUGCAGAAGGUCUGUUCACAGGAAGACACUCUCGCCCAGGAGAUGAACUUGAAGUAGAAUGAAGACCUUGGCAUUCCCGUCAUGGCGCAGUGGUUAAUGAAUCUGAAUAGGAACCAUGAGGCUGCAGAUCUACCUGAAAUCUACCUAAAUCCUCCUGAAAAUGGAUAUCUUCCCAUUGUGAUUGGGACCUCAGCCAUCAGUGUUCUCCCUCUCUUCCUCCUCUUCCUCCUCCUCUGCCAUUGCUGGUGUCGAGCCAAACACAGGGCCACGGAUGAUGAGACCAAGAGCCAAGUGCAGUAUGACAGCUCCGGCCCAGGCUUGAACUUUGCAGAAGACAAUCAAUCUAAGAGGAGUGAGAAGGAGGGGCAACCGGGGUAGGGAAAGAUGUGUUCAGGAGAAGAUAGACGGCCUCCCGGAAGGAGCAGAGACGUGGCACACACCUCACUGGGUGGUGUCUCAGUGGAUAUCGCCUCUGAGGGGGACAGACAGAUGGACAUGGAGGCCCUCCCAGAGGAAGACCCACAGGACGUGAUCUCUGUUCAGCAACACUGAGAUUCCCUGAUGGGGAGUGUGGAUUCAGAGUUCUCCUGCACCCUUGAGGAAUCCUUGUGAUAGCCCUGUGUGUAUAUCACCCUCCCCUGGUCUUGAGUGCAGAGCCAGAACUGGCCAUGUGGACUCCAGCGCUUAAGGGCCCCUUAAGGAAGAUGCGGCGUCCCACUCGUGUCCCCCACAGCAGCAGCAUCUUGGAGCUCCCCAAAGACUCAAGAAUAGAGAAGCCUUGUCACCUGUCAAGAAAUUCUGGGAUGCAUCGCAUCCCUCAACCGAUUCCUGGUUCCUUCUGUUUUUAUCCCCUCAUUUGCUUAUUUAACAGAUAUUCGCAGAAGUUGACUCUUCCUUUGCACCUGUGCUGAGGAGGGACAGAUCAGUAGGACACAGCUCCUGGUCUUAAGGAGUGCCUGGCCUCCUGAGAGAGGCAAACCUUAUGAUCGCUUGGACCCUUAGAAAGCAAAGAGGGGGUGAGCUACUGGAGCAGGGGAAGGAUGAUGUGGGCGACACAGGAAUACUCAUCCGGGUGCAUUUAAGGAGGACCCACAGGUACCCAACGCAAGGAGAAGUCAAGAAGACAUAGGAGUCAAACUGGGCGGGAGGGAGUUCCUGGUGGCAUUUUGCUCCAAUGCUCUAGGUUUUGUGUGAGCUGAAGCCUUCAGAGCAGCAAAAGGCGAACAAGAAAGAUUCUUUGUAAAGGAACCAAAUUGCAACUAUUUGACCGGAAGAAGGAUUUCUCUUGGGGAGGGGAAUGGUGCAGAGGGUGUUUGGGGGGGGUAUGGUUUCCCUCUAGUUUUGGUGAAUUUCACUUUUUAGUUAUGCAAUGAAAAGAAAUAGAAUACAAUAUAACGAGAUGGGAGUGGCAGGAGAGGAAUUGGAGUUGGUAUUAAAGUAGAUGCGAAUGAUUACAUUUGAGAUGGAUGAGCAGUGAGGUCCUACAGUACAGCACAGGGGACUCUGUCCAGUCUCUUGGGAGAGACUAUGAUGGAAGAUAAUAGGAGAAAAAGAAUUUGUGUGACUGGGGCACUCUGCUGCACAGCAGAAAUUGGCACAACACUGUAAUAAAAAACCAAAAAAAAUACAAAAAAAUUCAGUUCAGUUUUGGCACCAGGACGUAGAGAAGAAAGUUAAUGGCAGGGCCAGUGAAAUACAGCACAGUGGUUUGGAGUGGAGAGUAGGAGUAAGAGAGGGAAAUCGAGCAUGCGUGUUGAUUGAUGGAAAGAAAUAUGGGGAGCGCAUAAUGUGGAUGAUAUUGGGGAGUGACCAUCAGUGGGACAGGGUAGCAUUGAGAGCCCUGACUCGGGAAUAGAUGGGUUAACCUGGGUUCAGAUUUCUCCUUCUGUACCCACUUGCUGCACGGUCACGCACACACUUCAAAAUGAUUCUCUGAGCCAGAAGGACACUUGUCAUUGAUGGAGGAGGAAAUCCAAGCUCAUGCGAGCACGGGCUAAGAUGCAAUCUUUUCGGAAUUAGAGAAAUAAAGAUUCCAACAACGACAUGCCGUUGCUUCCCUUCCAUCUGCUAUGAUGGAAUUGCGGCCACCUCCAAACUCCUAUGUCAAAUGUCGCAACCCCCAGGACCUCAGAAUGGGGCCUUCUUUGGAAAUGAGGUCAUCGCAAGUGUGCUUACCCAGGAUGAAGACAUACUGGAGCAGGACGGCUUCUCACCCAGCAUGACUUGUGUCCUUAUUUAAAAACAAGGAAACGAUGGAGUUCCUGUUGUGGUGCAGCGGAAAUGAAUCUGACCGGAACCAUGAGGUUGCAGGUUCCAUCACUGUGUCCUCGCUCCGUGGGUUAAGGAUCUGGUGUUGCCGUGAGCCGUGGUGCAGGUCGGAGACGUGGCUUGGAUCCCGCGUUGCCGUGGCUAUGGCGUAGGCUGGCGGGGGCAGCUCUGAUUCUACCCCUAGCCUAGGAACCUCCAUAUGCCGCGGGGGAGGCCCUAAAAAGAAAAAAAAAAA